rnacentral:rRNA from 1 species
UGAAUUUGGUGCUUGCACCAAAUGAAACUAGAUACAAGCGAGCGGCGGACGGGUGAGUAACACGUGGGUAACCUGCCCAAGAGACUGGGAUAACACCUGGAAACAGAUGCUAAUACCGGAUAACAACACUAGACGCAUGUCUAGAGUUUAAAAGAUGGUUCUGCUAUCACUCUUGGAUGGACCUGCGGUGCAUUAGCUAGUUGGUAAGGUAACGGCUUACCAAGGCAAUGAUGCAUAGCCGAGUUGAGAGACUGAUCGGCCACAUUGGGACUGAGACACGGCCCAAACUCCUACGGGAGGCAGCAGUAGGGAAUCUUCCACAAUGGACGCAAGUCUGAUGGAGCAACGCCGCGUGAGUGAAGAAGGGUUUCGGCUCGUAAAGCUCUGUUGGUAGUGAAGAAAGAUAGAGGUAGUAACUGGCCUUUAUUUGACGGUAAUUACUUAGAAAGUCACGGCUAACUACGUGCCGGCAGCCGCGGUAAUACGUAGGUGGCAAGCGUUGUCCGGAUUUAUUGGGCGUAAAGCGAGUGCAGGCGGUUCAAUAAGUCUGAUGUGAAAGCCUUCGGCUCAACCGGAGAAUUGCAUCAGAAACUGUUGAACUUGAGUGCAGAAGAGGAGAGUGGAACUCCAUGUGUAGCGGUGGAAUGCGUAGAUAUAUGGAAGAACACCAGUGGCGAAGGCGGCUCUCUGGUCUGCAACUGACGCUGAGGCUCGAAAG